UCCCUGGUGGCUUAGUGGUAAAGAAUCUGCCUGCCAUUGCAGAAGGCACAGGUUCAAUCCCUGCUCUGGGAA
rnacentral:tRNA from 1 species